rnacentral:rRNA from 1 species
GACGAACGCUGGCGGCGUGCCUAAUACAUGCAAGUCGAACGCAUUUUCUUUCACCGUAGCUUGCUACACCGAAAGAAAAUGAGUGGCGAACGGGUGAGUAACACGUGGGUAACCUGCCCAUCAGCGGGGGAUAACACUUGGAAACAGGUGCUAAUACCGCAUAAUUCCAUUUACUGCAUGGUAGAUGGAUGAAAGGCGCUUUUGCGUCACUGAUGGAUGGACCCGCGGUGCAUUAGCUAGUGGGUGGGGUAACGGCCUACCAAGGCUGCGAUGCAUAGCCGACCUGAGAGGGUGAUCGGCCACACUGGGACUGAGACACGGCCCAGACUCCUACGGGAGGCAGCAGUAGGGAAUCUUCGGCAAUGGACGCAAGUCUGACCGAGCAACGCCGCGUGAGUGAAGAAGGUUUUCGGAUCGUAAAACUCUGUUGUUAGAAAAGAACAAGGAUGAGAGUGGAAAGUUCAUCCCUUGACGGUAUCUAACCAGAAAGCCCCGGCUAACUACGUG